rnacentral:rRNA from 1 species
UACGUAGGGUGCGAGCGUUGUCCGGAAUUAUUGGGCGUAAAGAGCUCGUAGGCGGUGUGUCACGUCGUUCGUGAAAACCUGCAGCUUAACUGUGGGCGUGCGGUCGAUACGGGCAUCACUGGAGUUCGGCAGGGGAGACUGGAAUUCCUGGUGUAGCGGUGAAAUGCGUAGAUAUCAGGAGGAAUACCGGUGGUGUAGACGGCUCUCUGGACCGCCACUGACGCUGAGACACGAAAGCGUGGGUAGCAAACAGG